CCAGCCGUCCUAUUGAAAGUGCCCCAGGAAAGGACUUCAAAUUGGGAGUAAUAAGAGGUUCAGGGACAGUUAGGGAUAUAAAAGCAGUUUCUCUGUGUGAACACAGGCGAGGCUGUGUGUUCUUAGGGAAUUAUCGCUGGGCUGAGACCCACUUGCAUGACUCCUGCUUAAUGAGUUGCCAUCCAUCAGCUGAGCUGGGAGAGUGGACCCUGCCCAGGUUUAAAAACAGGGGGAGAAACACCUGAGGCAGGAACACCAGGCAGGGGCAUUCAACGUUUUGAUGAUCUACAUAACACAGUGCUCACCGUGACUCCAAACAAGUUGCUUGGCUUCUCUGAGCCUCAGUCUCCUGCCUGGUGAGCAAAGGUAAAUUCAGUGCCACAUCCCACAGGCUUCACUGGAGUUCUAAAGGAAAAUGUGGAACCACUGAUGGAAAGUUUAUAGGAAUAUGGAGGACCUAGUGCUCUAACUCUCACCAGCAGUGCCCAAACAUGCUGAUAGCAUCCUCAAACUCUCAGGUAGAUUGGCAUCAUGGUGUGAGCACCCCUUUCCUUUGAGGAACUGCAGGUGAGCCUGGCACUCUGUCUGGGGUUUCAAAACUCAAAUUUAGACCAUAGACCAACCCAGGCUGGCUCUGCAUCUCCAGGAGUUCUGUCUUUUCCCUCCUUUCCUUCAGGGAGCUGCAGAAAGCAGUUUGAUCUUCCUCCUACUCUCCUCCAGGAUGAACAAACCCAGCUGGUUUUGCAUCUCUUUGUACCUGGUGGUUUCUGCCGGACCUGCUCCAAUCUCUCAAUGCUGGUUUUGUCCUAGGAAGCCUCAGGUGGGACCCAGUGUUUCCAAAACAAUCUCAGAAGGGCCAAAUGAAGGGGAUUCUCACUGCCUUGAUGUGCUGCCUGCCUCCUUGCUAGCACGGCUGAGGUGUAGCAGCAGUGAUCCCUGUUCAGUUCCUGACUCUCCAGCAAUCCCAUCUCCACUUCCACAAAGCUGCUUCCUAUCAAGCUGCUUCCCAGCUGUCCCCUGGCCUGUCCUGCUCCCUUGUGAGGUAAUUCCAUUAGGACUGUGCACUUGUCUGCCCAUUGCUCCACUCCCUCUCAACAGCAGCUGCAGCCUCUUGGGUGUCAAGUGCUUCCCUCCCCACUGCUUCCUUUGGUGGCAUCUGAAAACUUCCUGAGAGUGCCCAAUUAUCCAGGCCAUCAGCACCAGUCCCUCCAGGAUCUCCACAGCAAUGAGUUGCCAAGCAGGCUCUGUACUGCUGAUCAUCACCCUGUACCAGGUGUGAUGUGACUUUGUUUUUUGCUGGGUUCAAACCAACCCAUCCCUGGUAGACAUUCUCUUACUCAGAUCAACAGCUUUACAACUGCACUGGUACCACUUCUGCAAAGUCACAGAGUUUCCUUCAGGUUGGAAAAAACUUCUGAGAUUACUGAGUCCAACCUGUGCCUGACACUUCUUUGUCAGCCAGAAUAGUGUGCAGUCCUUUCUUGAACACUCCCAGGGAU